AUUGAACGCUGGCGGCAGGCCUAACACAUGCAAGUCGAACGAGUGGCGGACGGGUGAGUAAUGUCUGGGAAACUGCCUGAUGGAGGGGGAUAGCUACUGGAAACGGUAGCUAAUACCGCAUACCAUCGGAUGUGCCCAGAUGGGAUUAGCUUGUUGGUGGGGUAACGGCUCACCAAGGCGACGAUCCCUAGCUGGUCUGUGAGGAGGACAGGCCAACCGGGACCGUGGACACGUGCAAGACGCCAACGGGGGGCAGCAGGGGGGAAUAUUGCACAAGGGGCGAAAGCCUGAGGCAGCCAUGCCGCGUGUAUGAAGAAGGCUUUCGGGUUGUAAAGUACUUUCAGCGGGGAGGCGUUACCCGCAGAAGAAGCACCGGCUAACUCCGUGCCAGCAGCCGCGGUAAUC
rnacentral:rRNA from 1 species